GACGUAGAAGGCGAGCGUUGUCCGGAGUUACUGGGCGUAAAGGGCCUGUAGGCGGUUGGUCGCGUCUGGCGUGACAGCUCCUGGCUUAACUGGGAGAGGCUGCGAGAAACGGAUCAACUUGAGGGCGGCACAGGGAAGGGGAAUUCCGCGUGGAGCGGUGAAAUGCGUAGAGAUGCGGAAGAACACCGAAGGCGAAGGCACCUUCCUGGGCCGUGGUUCCUGACGCUGAGGGGCGAAAGCCAGGG
rnacentral:rRNA from 1 species